rnacentral:rRNA from 1 species
AUUGAACGCUGGCGGCAGGCCUAACACAUGCAAGUCGAACGAGUGGCGGACGGGUGAGUAAUGUCUGGGAAACUGCCCGAUGGAGGGGGAUAACUACUGGAAACGGUAGCUAAUACCGCAUACCAUCGGAUGUGCCCAGAUGGGAUUAGCUAGUAGGUGGGGUAACGGCUCACCGAGGCGACGAUCCCUAGCUGGUCUGAGAGGAUGACCUGCCACACUGGAAUUGGGCCACGGUCCAGACUCCAACGUGGGGCAGCAGUGGGGAAUAUUGCACAAUGGGCGCAAGCCGAUACAGCCAUGCCGCGUGUAUGAAGAAGGCCUUCGGGUUGUAAAGUACUUUCAGCGAGGAGGCGUUACUCGCAGAAGAAGCACCGGCUAACUCCGUGCCAGCAGCCGCGGUAAUUC